rfam:Triticum aestivum genome assembly, contig: Triticum_aestivum_CS42_TGACv1_scaffold_061607_1DL
GUGGCAUUAUGAGGAAGACAAUUGGUGUCUGAUCAAUUUGAUGAUAAAUUCCUCCUACUCAUUCUGA